GUAGGUGGCAAGCGUUGUCCGGAAUUAUUGGGCGUAAAGCGCGCGCAGGCGGUUCUUUAAGUCUGAUGUGAAAGCCCACGGCUCAACCGUGGAGAGUCAUUGGAAACUGGAGAACUUGAGUACAGAAGAGGAAAGCGGAAUUCCACGUGUAGCUGUGAAAUGCGUAGAGAUGUGGAGGAACACCAGUGGCGAAGGCGGCUUUCUGGUCUGUAACUGACGCUGAGGCGCGAAAGCGUGGGGGGGAGCAAACAGGAUUAGAUACCCUGGUAGUCCACGCCGUAAACGAUGAGCGCUAAGUGUUAGGGGGUUUCCGCCCCCCCCUUAGUGCUGCAGCUAACGCAUUAAGCACUCCGCCUGGGAGUACGGCCGCAAGGCUG
rnacentral:rRNA from 1 species